UUGUAAGUGUUUAAGGGCGCAUGGUGGAUGCCUUGGCACUGGGAGCCGAUGAAGGACGUGGGAGGCUGCGAUAUGCCUCGGGGAGUUGUCAACCGAGCGUGGAUCCGAGGAUGUCCGAAUGGGGAAACCCGGCACGAGUGAUGUCGUGUCACCCAACGCUGAAUAUAUAGGCGUUGGGGGGGAACGCGGGGAAGUGAAACAUCUCAGUACCCGUAGGAAGAGAAAACAAGUGUGAUUCCGUGAGUAGUGGCGAGCGAAAGCGGAGGAUGGCUAAACCGCGUGCAUGUGAUACCCGGCGGGGGUUGUGUGCGUGGUGUUGUGGGGCUUGUGUUCCUCUCUCCGCCGAGAGGGGCAGCAGUGAUAAAGCAGUGUGUUAGUCGAAGUGGCCUGGGAUGGUCUGUCCGUAGAGGGUGAGAGCCCCGUAGACGAAAACACGCUGCCUGCUGUCGCAGGAUCCCCGAGUAGCAGCGGGCCCGUGGAAUCUGCUGUGAAUCUGCCGGGACCACCCGGUAAGCCUGAAUACUUCCCAGUGACCGAUAGCGGAUUAGUACCGUGAGGGAAUGGUGAAAAGUACCCCGGGAGGGGAGUGAAAGAGUACCUGAAACCGUGCGCUUACAAUCCGUCAAAGCCCUCUUUAUUGUGGGGUGAUGGCGUGCCUUUUGAAGAAUGAGCCUGCGAGUCAGGGACAUGUCGCGAGGUUAACCCGGGUGGGGUAGCCGCAGCGAAAGCGAGUCUGAAUAGGGCGUAUCCAAUCCGUAGGGGUUGGUGUAGUGGUGUGUUCUGGACCCGAAGCGGAGUGAUCUACCCAUGGCCAGGGUGAAGCAGCAGUAAGAUGUUGUGGAGGCCCGAACCCACUUAGGUUGAAGACUGAGGGGAUGAGUUGUGGGUAGGGGUGAAAGGCCAAUCAAACUCCGUGAUAGCUGGUUCUCCCCGAAAUGCAUUUAGGUGCAGCGUUGCGUGUUUUUUACCGGAGGUAGAGCUACUGGAUGGCCGAUGGGCCCUACUAGGUUACUGACGUCAGCCAAACUCCGAAUGCCGGUAAAUGAAAGCGUGGCAGUGAGACGGCGGGGGAUAAGCUCCGUGCGUCGAGAGGGAAACAGCCCAGAUCGCCGGCUAAGGCCCCUAAGCGUGUGCUAAGUGGAAAAGGAUGUGCAGUCGCGAAGACAACCAGGAGGUUGGCUUAGAAGCAGCCACCCUUGAAAGAGUGCGUAAUAGCUCACUGGUCAAGUGAUUGUGCGCCGAUAAUGUAGCGGGGCUCAAGCACACCGCCGAAGCCGCGGCAAUAGUCCG
rnacentral:rRNA from 1 species